rnacentral:rRNA from 1 species
AGAAUCAACGCUGGCGGCGUGCCUAACACAUGCAAGUCGCACGAGAAAGGGGACUUCGGUCUCCGAGUACAGUGGCGCACGGGUGAGUAACACGUGAAUCAUCUACCUUCGAGUGUGGAAUAACUGAGAGAAAUCUUAGCUAAUACCGCAUAAUACCUACGGGUCAAAGCAGCAAUGCGCUUGAAGAGGAGUUCGCGGCAGAUUAGUAGUUGGCGGGGUAAUGGCCCACCAAGACGAUGAUCUGUA